CCUACGGGAGGCAGCAGUGAGGAAUAUUGGUCAAUGGACGAGAGUCUGAACCAGCCAAGUAGCGUGAAGGAUGAAGGUUCUAUGGAUUGUAAACUUCUUUUAUACGGGAAUAAACGAAUCCACGUGUGGAUUUUUGCAUGUACCGUAUGAAUAAGGAUCGGCUAACUCCGUGCCAGCAGCCGCGGUAAUACGGAGGAUCCGAGCGUUAUCCGGAUUUAUUGGGUUUAAAGGGAGCGUAGAUGGGUUGUUAAGUCAGUUGUGAAAGUUUGCGGCUCAACCGUAAAAUUGCAAUUGAUACUGGCAGUCUUGAGUACAGUUGAGGUAGGCGGAAUUCGUGGUGUAGCGGUGAAAUGCUUAGAUAUCACGAAGAACUCCGAUUGCGAAGGCAGCUUACUAACCUGUAACUGACAUUGAUGCUCGAAAGUGUGGGUAUCAAACA
rnacentral:rRNA from 1 species